GCAGUCGAGCGGACAGAUGGGAGCUUGCUCCCUGAUGUUAGCGGCGGACGGGUGAGUAACACGUGGGUAACCUGCCUGUAAGACUGGGAUAACUCCGGGAAACCGGGGCUAAUACCGGAUGGUUGUUUGAACCGCAUGGUUCAGACAUAAAAGGUGGCUUCGGCUACCACUUACAGAUGGACCCGCGGCGCAUUAGCUAGUUGGUGAGGUAACGGCUCACCAAGGCGACGAUGCGUAGCCGACCUGAGAGGGUGAUCGGCCACACUGGGACUGAGACACGGCCCAGACUCCUACGGGAGGCAGCAGUAGGGAAUCUUCCGCAAUGGACGAAAGUCUGACGGAGCAACGCCGCGUGAGUGAUGAAGGUUUUCGGAUCGUAAAGCUCUGUUGUUAGGGAAGAACAAGUGCCGUUCAAAUAGGGCGGCACCUUGACGGUACCUAACCAGAAAGCCACGGCUAACUACGUGCCAGCAGCCGCGGUAAUACGUAGGUGGCAAGCGUUGUCCGGAAUUAUUGGGCGUAAAGGGCUCGCAGGCGGUUUCUUAAGUCUGAUGUGAAAGCCCCCGGCUCAACCGGGGAGGGUCAUUGGAAACUGGGGAACUUGAGUGCAGAAGAGGAGAGUGGAAUUCCACGUGUAGCGUGAAAUGCGUAGAGAUGUGGAGGAACACCAGUGGCGAAGGCGACUCUCUGGUCUGUAACUGACGCUGAGGAGCGAAAGCGUGGGGAGCGAACAGGAUUAGAUACCCUGGUAGUCCACGCCG
rnacentral:rRNA from 1 species